rnacentral:rRNA from 1 species
GACGAACGCUGGCGGCGUGCUUAACACAUGCAAGUCGAGCGGUAAGGCCCUUUCGGGGGUACACGAGCGGCGAACGGGUGAGUAACACGUGGGUGACCUGCCCUCAGCUCUGGGAUAAGCCUGGGGAAACUGGGUCUAAUACUGGAUAUGACUCCACGGUGCAUGUCGUGGGGUGGAAAGCCUUGUGCGGCUGAGGAUGGGCCCGCGGCCUAUCAGCUUGUUGGUGGGGUGANGGCCUACCAAGGCGACGACGGGUAGCCGGCCUGAGAGGGCGACCGGCCACACUGGGACUGAGACACGGCCCAGACUCCUACGGGAGGCAGCAGUCGGGGAAUCUUGCGCAAUGGGCGAAAGCCUGACGCAGCGACGCCGCGUGAGGGAUGACGGCCUCGG